rnacentral:rRNA from 1 species
AGUGAACGCUGGCGGUAGGCCUAACACAUGCAAGCCGAACGGCAGCACAGUAAGAGCUUGCUCUUACGGGUGGCGAGUGGCGGACGGGUGAGGAAUACAUCGGAAUCUACUUUUUCGUGGGGGAUAACGUAGGGAAACUUACGCUAAUACCGCAUACGACCUACGGGUGAAAUCAGGGGAUCUUCGGACCUUGCGCGAUUGAAUGAGCCGAUGUCGGAUUAGCUAGUUGGCGGGGUAAAGGCCCACCAAGGCGACGAUCCGUAGCUGGUCUGAGAGGAUGAUCAGCGAAACGGGAACUGAGACACGGUCCAGACUACUACGGGAGGGAGAAGAGGGGAAUAUUGGACAAUGGGGGGAAGCCUGAUCCAGAAAUACCGAGUGGGUGAAGAAGGCAUUCGGGUUGUAAAGCCCUUUUGUUGGGAAAGAAAAGCAGCAGGUUAAUACCCCGCUGUUAUGACGGUAACCAAAGAAUAAGCACCGGCUAACUUCGUG